GACGAACGCUGGCGGCGUGCUUAACACAUGCCAGUCGAACGGAAAGGCCUCUUUCGGGGGGUACUCGAGUGGCGAACGGGUGAGUAACACGUGAGUAACCUGCCCUUGACUUUGGGAUAACUUCAGGAAACUGGGGCUAAUACCGGAUAGGAGCUCCUGCUGCAUGGUGGGGGUUGGAAAGUUUCGGCGGUUGGGGAUGGACUCGCGGCUUAUCAGCUUGUUGGUGGGGUAGUGGCUUACCAAGGCUUUGACGGGUAGCCGGCCUGAGAGGGAGACCGGCCACAUUGGGACUGAGAUACGGCCCAGACUCCUACGGGAGGCAGCAGUGGGGAAUAUUGCACAAUGGGUGGAAGCCUGAUGCAGCAACGCCGUGUGCGGGAUGACGGCCUUCGGGUUGUAAACCGCUUUCGCUCAUGACGAAGCUUUGUGUGACGGUAGUGGGUAAAGAAGCACCGGCUAACUACGU
rnacentral:rRNA from 1 species